rnacentral:rRNA from 1 species
GUAGUCCACGCCGUAAACGAUGGAUACUAGCUGUCCGGCGCAAGCUGGGUGGCUAAGCGAAAGUGAUAAGUAUCCCACCUGGGGAGUACGUUCGCAAGAAUGAAACUCAAAGGAAUUGACGGGGGCCCGCACAAGCGGUGGAGCAUGUGGUUUAAUUCGAUGAUACGCGAGGAACCUUACCAGGGCUUAAAUGUGGUCUGACAGCUUUAGAGAUAGAGUUUCCUUCGGGCGGACCACAAGGUGCUGCAUGGUUGUCGUCAGCUCGUGCCGUGAGGUGUCAGGUUAAGUCCUAUAACGAGCGCAACCCCUGUCGUUAGUUGCCAGCGAGUCAAGUCGGGAACUCUAACGAG